UGCGGAGGAUCCGAGCGUUAUCCGGAUUUAUUGGGUUUAAAGGGUGCGCAGGCGGGAGAUUAAGUCGGCGGUGAAAUUUUGCAGCUCAACUGUAAAAGUGCCUUCGAAACUGGUUUCCUUGAGUGUAGAUGAAGUAGGCGGAAUUUGUGGUGUAGCGGUGAAAUGCAUAGAUAUCACGAGGAACUCCGAUUGCGCAGGCAGCUUACUAAACUACUACUGACGCUCAGGCACGAAGGCGUGGGGAUCAAACAGGAUUAGAUACCCU
rnacentral:rRNA from 1 species